rnacentral:lncRNA from 1 species
AAGUGGAGGAGUGAUGAUGUGAACCCAGGCCAUCGGGCUGGAGUCUGUGCUCUUGGAAAGAGGAUGGGACAGGGGCACCCAGGUUUCGAUGAUGAAAGAGAAGGUGCCCUGGUUGGGUGAAGGAAGGGGGAGAUGAAAGAUGAAAGACAGUGGUUAGGAAACGAGGUCUCACUAUGUUACUGAGACUGGUCUCAAACUGCCGGGCUCAGGAGAUCCUCCUGCCUAGACCUCCCAAAGUGCUGGAAUUACAGUGUGAGCGACUGGACGUGGCUUGCUUUAUUGAGCACUUACUACGUGGUAAGCACUUUAUUCAAGAGAUGUGGUUGAAUCGCUCAAAAGGGACCCUUGUGAGGUACCAGGAUGAUCCCAUUUUUAAGCUUAGGAAACUGAGGCUGGAAACCAGGCAGUCACUUGUCCAAAAGGACAAGGGUCAAGCAUUGCAAUACAGGUCUGUUCAUCUUUGUGCCUUUGGGUUGUGGGGGUGGGAGACAGGAUUUUGGAGGUGAAAGAGUAAUUAAUACAGGACCCAACUGAAAGAACUGAGGACAGAAAAAAAAAAAAAAAGAGAGAGAAGAUAUUAGUGGUCCCCAAGACAAGGUGUGAGAGGUUUGGGGAUAAAGAUGAGGACCACAGUUUUUAGGGAUCCCCAAGGAGCAGAGGUAGGGUUCCUUGAGUUUAGGAUUUCAGAGCUUGGGUUUGAAAUUCUGGGAAUUUGGGGUCCCAGCAUCCAGGGUUGGGGAAUCAGAACAUUUAGAAUCCCCAGUGUGUAGAGUUUAGAGGUCUGUGAAUGUGGGGUUCCAGACGGUAGAGUUACUGGUCUGGGAAUUUCGUCCACCCCCUGGGAGGCAGGAUUAGG